GAGAGUGUAGUUCAGUGGUAGAGUGUUUGCGUAGCAUGCAUAAAAUCUUGGGUUCAAUCCCCAGCACCUCCC
rnacentral:tRNA from 1 species